rnacentral:lncRNA from 1 species
AACUGCAGUUCUAACUGCAACUCUUUUCUAACUGCAAUGCUUCAAUAGAAGCGUUUAACUACCACUUUGUCUUGCUCUCUGUGAAAUUACAUAAUUGGUAGAGUCUUCAGUGUGACGGAUCCAGAUAUCUGCCUUUCACAACUGCUUUUUGAUGACCACCUCCCUAUGGGACAGCUAGAAACAGCCCAUGUGACUCACCCCACCGACCCUUGUACCCCACAUGGACUGCGUAGAUAUGGCAUAGUGACCUCCUGUCGGUCACAGUGUGAUCUUCUGGAACUUGUACCUGCUUGCUUUAAACUCACCGUUUAGAACUCUCUUCGGGAAACCUGCUUGGGUAAUGCUUUGGAACCCAAUGAAAGCUUUGACUCUCUGGUCUCUUGCUCUCUCUCUUCUUUUCUUGCUUCCUACCAGCUGGUUGAGCAUGCACGUCCCAGAUAACUCUUCCUUUCCCACUGGCCCUGUGAGGCAUGAUGCCCUCUCCUCUCUGGGAUCUAAA